rnacentral:lncRNA from 1 species
AACUACGAGACACGGGAUGCUUUAGUCUUCAAAUUCUAAUUUGUUGUUGCAAUUUUAUAGCCGAACAUUCUAAAUUAUUAUAAUUAAGUUAUAAAAUACAAUUUAGCUAAUUGAAUGAUGAUGUGUUGCUGUUGUGCUAGUAAUAUGGCAUAGAUUGCAAGUUCUCGAAUGUACUUUAGUCGGUUAAAUCAUUAUGUGCUGCUGAUGUGAUAGUGUUACGGCAUAUUAGUUAUUUCAUGCUUUACAUUAUUAUCAUAUUAGCGACAGGUCACUAUAAUUUGGUUAAUUAAAAUGUACCGAAAAAUUUUAUUACGAAAAAAUAAAAGGUUCAAGUCAAAAAUUAUAAUUAAUAAAUUGAAUUUGAUGAUAACAGUGUCAUACCCGUGGUAGUUUGAGGACUAAAAGUGCAAUUCAUUUUAUAUAGGAUAAACUUCAAAUAUUAUUUAUGUAAUUUCGCACUUUCAUACUUUAGUACCAUAUGGUUUAAAGUGUAUCAAUUUAGUAUUUUGUAAUUUUAUUUUUUUUCUUUUCGCUAGUUCCUCCGUUAAUAUUUUAUUAAAUUACAUAUAAAAAUUUUAAAUACUUCACCUAAAUUUAUCAAAUAUUUACUUUAAUACCUUUUAGUUUUAACUUUUUCACUAAUUUAAUAAAAAAGAUUA